rnacentral:tRNA from 1 species
AGCGUAGUAGCUCCAAGAUGGUAGAGCGUCCCGAAAGGGUGUGUGGCGGUUCGAGCCCGUCCUGCGCUU